GCUGUAGCUCAGUGGCAGAGCAUUUGCCUUGGAUGCAGAAGGUCCCUGGUUCAAUCCCAGGCAUCUCCA